rnacentral:rRNA from 1 species
CAAUAGCGUAUAUUAAAGCUGUUGCGGUUAAAAAGCUCGUAGUUGGAUUUCUGUCAAGGACAACUGGUCCGCCCCUCGGGUGAGCACAUAGUUUGGUCUUGGCAUCUUGUUGGAAACUGUUGCUGCACUUGGUUGUGUGGCGCAGUGUCCAGCACUUUCACUUUGAGGAAAUUGGAGUGUUUCAAGCAGGCACAUGCCUUUGGACACAGUGGCAUGGAAUAAUUAGAUUGGGCUUUUGCUCCAACUUGUCGGUUUCUGGAGCUGAGGUGAGAAUUAAUGGGGAUUGUUGGGGGCAUCCGAAUUUAGCCGUCAGAGGUGAAAUUCUUGGAUCUGCUAAAGACGGACAACUGCGAAAGCGUUUGCCCAGGAUGUUUUCAUUGA